CUCUCUCUCUCUCUCUCUCUCCCUGCUCCCACUGCCUUCCGCUCCCAGUCUUGGUGAGGCGAUGAGUUCAGUAAUUUCAGUCUUGUCUCCUGCCUUGAGGUGAUCUAUCUCCUCCACGCUACACGGGAAGCCCAAGGAGCAUCUUGAAGUAAAACAACAGAAUGGCAUCCACCUUACGCAUUGCUCUGGUCCAAAUGGCUGUGGCCGAGGAGAAGACCAAGAACGUGGAGCGGGCCGUGCAGCUCAUCGAGGAGGCUGCCGGCAACGGUGCCCAGCUGGUGGUGCUGCCGGAGUGCUUCAACGGACCCUGC